UACCCGCGCCCCUAGGGGUGGUCGAUAUUAUUGAGCCUAAAACGUCCGUAGCCGGUCGUCUAAAUCCGUGGGUAAAUCGGGCAGCUUAACUGUCCGAAGUCCGGGGAGACUGGGAGACUUGGGACCGGGAGAGGUCAGAGGUACUUCUGGGGUAGGGGUAAAAUCCUGUAAUCCUGGAAGGACCACCGGUGGCGAAGGCGUCUGACUAGAACGGAUCCGACGGUGAGGGACGAAGCCCUGGGGCGCAAACGGG
rnacentral:rRNA from 1 species